AUGGCAGCGUUGAAAAGUGUAAGAAAAAAAAAAAGAAGAAGAAGAAGAAGAAGAAGAAGAAAGAAGAACAUCAACAGCAGAAAAGAAAGCCUAAACAGCCAAGAGAGAGCGGACUGAGAACUACUCACGGUACAGACAGCUGGUCGACCCCCGAUCGGGUAACUGGUCAACCCGCCGCAUGGAGAGACGGACGGACAACUGGUCGACCUUCGCCACCGGUGGCUGCCGGCGUCCGUCCUCUCCGGCGGGGACGGCGGCCCGGGGGGCGGACCCGGCGGGGGGGAGAGCGCGGCGACGGGUCCUGGCUCCUCGCCCCGGGAUUCGGCGAUCGCUGCUGCCGGGGCGGGGGACCCCCGGGCCACCUUCCCCGCCGGGGCCUUCCCAGCCGUCCCGGAGCCGGUCGCGGCGCACCGCCGCGGUGGAAGUGCGCCCGGCGGCGGCCGGUCGCGGCCGGGGGCGGUCCCCCCCGACCACCCCCGGCCCCGCC
rnacentral:lncRNA from 1 species